rnacentral:rRNA from 1 species
GUUCCCUACGGGGCGCAGCAGUGAGGAAUAUUGGUCAAUGGACGAGAGUCUGAACCAGCCAAGUAGCGUGAGGGAUGACUGCCCUAUGGGUUGUAAACUUCUUUUAUAAAGGAAUAAAACGAGGCACGUGUGCCUUUUUGCAUGUACUUUAUGAAUAAGGAUCGGCUAACUCCGUGCCAGCAGCCGCGGUAAUACGGAGGAUCCGAGCGUUAUCCGGAUUUAUUGGGUUUAAAGGGAGCGUAGGCGGGCCGUUAAGUCAGUUGUGAAAGUUGGGGGCUCAACCCCGGAAUUGCAGUUGAAACUGC